rnacentral:lncRNA from 1 species
AAAAAAGACGGCAGCAUAGAUGCAAGCGAAAGCGAGCGAGUCUUGUCACUGUGGCCGUAGAGUGGUUGCAUUCCUUAUUAUAUUACGAUUAUUACAUACCAAGAUCAAAUUACAAGCUUUAAGAUUCGAAGAGAUUCUGCUUCCAGUAAUUCGACGCUGUGUUCGCCGAAUGAAUGCCGGAUCUAAUUUCAAGGUUAGAGCGUCAUGUUAGCGUUGGCAUGGGUGGGUUCUAUGCAAUGCAAAGAGUUGAAAUCAGAGCUAUAUACAGUAAAAUGGCCACCCGCUUUGUCAAUCUGACCCUUUUCAACACAUAUAAAAUAGGCAGAACAAAAAGAAACUGUCGUCAAUUUCACUUAUCCGCAGCACAGCAAGACUGAGUGAUGGAAGCUGUAUGUAUGUAGCAUAUAGUCGUAUGUUUAGAGGAAGGUUUUACGUUUGUACCUGUUUGCAUUAGCUUGAUGCGACAACAGAGACAGAAAUGCACACACCAGAACGCGUUAAUUCUAAGUGAGCUUUGGAUGAA